rnacentral:sRNA from 1 species
CUGCUCUAGGAGGUCCCGGUGACUCUGUCGCAGCCCCUGUCGCCCUCUGACUUGCAGAUGCUGUGAGAUCCAGAGCUAAGACUCCAGGACAUCCCGGAAGCCGAAAAAUGGAUCAGUCUCAGUGUUUCCUGUUUGGAUUGCUAUAGGGACAUCAACCCAGGGUGACUGUAGACCCUCUUCCCAGCACCUGAGAGUCUUUGAGACAUUUGAGGUUGUCAUGUGCAGACUGGGAUGGGAGUUGUUCCAGUUUUCACUUGGGUGAAAAACAAGGAGAGCUGGAGACUUAAACUGAUCAACCAAUUGCUUUUAUUUCAUAUGACAAUUAGAAAAACAGAUGAGGCAAUCAUAAUCUCUGCA